rnacentral:rRNA from 1 species
GACGAACGCUGGCGGCGUGCUUAACACAUGCAAGUCGAACGGAAAGGCCCUGCUUUUGUGGGGUGCUCGAGUGGCGAACGUGUGAGUAACACGUGAGUAACCUGCCCUUGACUUUGGGAUAACUUCAGGAAACUGGGGCUAAUACCGGAUAGGAGCUCCUGCUUCAUGGUGGGGGUUGGAAAGUUUCGGCGGUUGGGGAUGGACUCGCGGCUUAUCAGCUUGUUGGUGAGGUAGUGGCUGACCAAGGCUUUGACGGGUAGCCGGCCUGAGAGGGUGACCGGCAAAAUUGUGACUGAGAGACGGCCCAGACUCGUACGGGAGGGAGGAGUGGGGAAUAUUGCACAAUGGGCGAAAGCAUGAUGCAGCAACGCCGCGUGCGGGAUGACGGCCUUCGGGUUGUAAACCGCUUUCGCCUGUGACGAAGCGUGAGUGACGGUAAUGGGUAAAGAAGGACCGGCUAACUACAU